AUCCUGGAGCUGAAGUAGGUUCCAAGGGUUUGGCUGUUCGCCAAUUAAAGCGGUACGCGAGCUGGGUUCAGAACGUCGUGAGACAGUUCGGUCCCUAUCUGUCGCGGGCGCAGGAUAUUUGAGGGGAUCUGUCCUUAGUACGAGAGGACCGGGAUGGACGAACCUAUGGUGUACCAGUUGUCACGCCAGUGGCACAGCUGGGUAGCCAAGUUCGGAAGGGAUAAACGCUGAAGGCAUCUAAGCGUGAAACCCACCCCAAGAUGAGAUAUCCCACCGAAAGGGUAAGACCCCAUGUAGACUACAUGGUAGAUAGGCCAGGUGUGUAAGCGCAGUAAUGUGUUUAGCUGACUGGUACUAAUCGGUCGAGGGCUUGACCUAA
rnacentral:rRNA from 1 species